GACGUAGGGCGCGAGCGUUGUCCGGAUUUAUUGGGCGUAAAGAGCUCGUAGGCGGCUUGUCGCGUCGAAUGUGAAAACUCGGGGCUCAACUCCGAGCUUGCAUUCGAUACGGGCAGGCUAGGGUUCGGUAGGGGAGACUGGAAUUCCUGGUGUAGCGGUGAAAUGCGCAGAUAUCAGGAGGAACACCGAUGGCGAAGGCAGGUCUCUGGGCAUUAACUGACGCUGAGACGCGAAAGCGUGGGGAGCAAACAGG
rnacentral:rRNA from 1 species